rnacentral:lncRNA from 10 species
UGUAAAUUAUGCUGCUGUGAACAUUGAUUUGAACAUAUUUUUUCAGGACCUUUUAUUUCAGUUCUUUGAAGUAUAUACCCAGAUGUAGAAUUGAUGUAGAAUUGAUGGAUGAUAUGGUAAUUCUAUUUUUUAUAUAUUGAGAAACCACCAAACUGUUUUUCACAGUGGCUGUAUCAUUUUACAUUCCCACCAAGAAUCUAUAGAAUUCCAGUUUCUCCACAUAUUCACCAAUCCUUGUUAUUUUCUGUGUUUUUCUUUUUGAUAUUAGCCAUCCUGUGUGUGUGAGAUCGUAUCUCAUCAUUUGCUUACUUGCCAUUUGUAUAUCUUCUUUCGAAGGACCUUUUGUUACAAGGUUACCAGAGGUUUGUCCCCACAAAAGGACCUGAUAUUCAGGGUUUUCUUUCUUUGUUUUUGUUUGUUUGUUUGUUUGUUUUUUCAUGGAUGGGUUCUUGCCCUGUCAUCCAGGCCGGAGUGCGGUGGUGCAAGCAGCCUCAAACUCCUGGAUUCAGGGGAUCCUCCCAUCUCAACCUCCUGAGUAGCUGGGAUUACAAGCACAUAUUACCAUGCCUAGCUAAUUUUCUUUUACUUUUAUUUUUUUGUAGAGACAAGAUCUCCCUUUGUUUCCCAGGCUCGUCUCAAACUCAAAAAGUCAGUGACAACAAGAGGUCUGUGGUUGACGAUGGUCCUACUUCUCCAUGUUCUGAGACCAGUUUAAACAAAAACAAAAACCAGACAACAACCUUGCAAGGGAAAGAAUUCAGAGUAAAUAAACAGUCUUUUUCUGUGAAGCAAAAUAUUUCCCUAAGAUGGGGAAAUUGA